rnacentral:rRNA from 1 species
CAGAAUAUUAGUCAAUGCUCGCAAGAGUGAACUAGCUAACUGAAAUCACUAAUUGAUCUUAUCAAUGUGAUAUAGUAAGGGAAAACAAAUGAUAUUACUUUACUUAUAGUGUUGUCUAAUUCUGGUGCCAGAAGACUCGGUAAUACCAGUAACGCGAACGUUAGUCAUCUUUAUCAGGCGUAAAGGGUUUGUAGGCAGCUUUUAAAAAAAAUUCUUAACUAUAUUGUCCCUUUUUAUUAUAAAAAAGGAAUAAAUAGUGAAGUCUCUAAUUUGAGAGCUAGAAUCAAAUAGAAGUUAAAAAGUAUAAUACUUAGAGAAGGGUUGAUAUUCUUAGAACCUAAGGGGAAUACUAAAGGUGUAAACAACUAACUAUAAAUGAUUGACGCUGAGACACGAAGGUGAGGAUAGGAAAUAGGAUUAGAUACCCCGGUACCCCUCUCUGUAAACGAUGAAUGGUAGUUAUUAGUGUAUUACUGGUAACGAAGCUAACGCGUUAACCAUUCCGCCUUGGGAGUACGAUUGCAAAGUUGAAAACAAAAAAAUUAGUCGGUCUCGGAGCAAACGGAGUGAAGCAUGUUAUUUAAUUC